rnacentral:tRNA from 1 species
GUCAGGAUGGCCGAGUGGUCUAAGGCGCCAGACUUAAGUUCUGUUCUUCGUGAGAAGGCGUGGGUUCAAAUCCCACUUCUGACA